UACGUAGGGUGCGAGCGUUGUCCGGAAUUAUUGGGCGUAAAGGGCUCGUAGGCGGUUUGUCACGUCAGGAGUGAAAACUCGGGGGCUUAACCCCCGAGCCUGCUUCUGAUACGGGCAGACUAGAGGUAUGCAGGGGAGAACGGAAUUCCUGGUGUAGCGGUGAAAUGCGCAGAUAUCAGGAGGAACACCGGUGGCGAAGGCGGGUCUCUGGGCCGAUACUGACGCUGAGGAGCGAAAGCGUGGGGAGCGAACAGG
rnacentral:rRNA from 1 species